rnacentral:rRNA from 1 species
AUUGAACUCUGGCGGCAGGCCUAACACAUGCAAGUCGAACGAGUGGCGGACGGGUGAGUAAUGUCUUGGAAACUGCCUGAUGGAGUGGGAUAACUACUGGAAACGGUAGCUAAUACCGCAUACCAUCUGAUGUUCCCAGAUGGGAUUAGCUAGUAGGUGGGGUAACGGCUCACCUAGGCGACGAUCCCUAUCUGGUCUGAGAGGAUGACCAGCCACACUGGAACUGAGACACGGUCCAGACUCCUACGGGAGGCAGCAGUGGGGAAGAUUGCACAAUGGGCGAAAGCCUGAUGCAGCCAUGCCGCGUGUAUGAAGGAGGCCUUCGGGUUGUAAAGUACUUUCAGCGGGGAGGCGUUACCCGCAGAAGAAGCACCGGAUAACUCCGUGCCAGAAGCCGCGGUAAUUC